CCUGAGGAUAAAAAGCACAGAUCAGUCCCUGGGCCUACAGGACAGUGUUUUUGCAGAUACUGCUUGUGUUGAUGCCAACUGAAGACACUGACAAGAUACACUGCAACUCAAAAGGUCUUGUGCAGGGGAGCAAGUUAGCUGUAAACAAAGCCUAUUCCCAUUUGACAGGCCUGACCUCCUAGUCUUCCAACCCAGCAGAAGCACUGGAGAAGACAGAAGGCACCUGGGCUCCUCCCCACUGCCAGGUGCUGGGGAGAAAGGAUUUUCUUAUGGACCCCCCCACACUCUCAGACUUCAGUGUAGCACAGCUCUCACAGUUUGUUCACCCUCUAAAAACACCAGGAGUACAUUUUCAGAUGUGGUUCUUACACAGCUGCUCUGCUAAGACACAAACGCUAUGAAUGUGAGGUACUAGGUAUCACACGUCAGGGGAGCAGCUGAUGGUGUCUCAGGGGGUACCCUGCAGCACUACUCUAAGUCAGACAGCAAAAUAUCUUGGGGCAGAGGAUUACAAACCCUCAAAGAUUCAGAAAAGUUUUCUACCCUCAAGGUCUGCCAGGUUCAUGUAAUUCUGCUUUUUAGUAUAGAAAAGAGUGUACUUGCACCCCCUUUUGAUUUCUACUCCACCCAAAGUUUAAAAUCAACUGCCUGGCAGUGGCAGCAGCAUUUCUAGCCAGACAGAAAUGAAGGAAUCAAUUGAUUUCAUGGCUCAUUACAAUCUACCUGUCACCUUCUAAACUUCAUACCCUCUCUUGUUUUUAAUGGUCUUGAUGUUUCACCAACCACGCUAUCCUUUGUUCUGCAAUUCUACUGUUUGUCAGCAGCUCCUCUGAAUGUUGCUUCUACAUCACAGCCCAGCAGAUCGUUUUUAAUUCUUUUCAAUAGAGUUAUAUUUGUUUUUGCUUCAAUCUUAAAGUGAGUAAUCCAGCCCUGGACUCCUAGCAUAUUAGUAAAGCUUCUGGUUUCUUUUUAACUGGAAAAAAUGUGUGUUGUUUUUGUGUAUGAUAAUGCAUCUUCCCAUCUGCACCCCACUUUUCAAAAUUCUACAUCUACCCAGGUGUAUAAACCAGCAUUCCCAGCAUCCUGAUGUUAGCUGAGCUGGAAGCUGCCUCCAUUUCUUUGAGCCACAGCUUUCCCAUCCAGGGAGUCUACAAGCAGGUGGCGUCAGCUAGGGAGAGGAACAACAGGAGCACUUCAUCUGGAGAAACAAUGCACUUGACAGGAACAGAGACCAAAUCAAAGCUCUGUGCCUUGCCAACACAGGAAAUCAAAGAACAGCUCCACACUGUGCACUUUGGGCAGACCACUAAGCAUCACUGACCUUCAUAGCUUUGCUUCACAUGGGUGCUAAUGAAAGUUAUAACUUAGCCCUGGACCAUACUGUGGCUUCCAAACUGAAGGAGAGAAAGAUCCAUCACUAGAGAUAUCUAAAACCAGACUGAUCCCCUGCACAGUAGGGAGCGAUGCUAACGCAUUUAUUGGAGGGUGAGCCACCAGAUGAUCUUACUUUACAUCUUCAGUUUCUCAGAUAAUCUUAACUUCGAUGAGUUAAAAAACUAAGUAUAAAAGCACCAUAUUCAUUUGUGUCCAACUGUGUGGGUUAUCUCUGGACUGCAGCAGUUGCAGAAUGUGAGCUGUGAAAGGGCUGAAUUUAGUGCCUCUGACUGGGAGCUGGGAGCAUAAAAAUCAACAGGACGAUGGGAUGGGAAACCCAAACCUGAGAACAGCAACUUUGAAGUAACAGGGAAUGAUGUUCCCAUGACUCAAAAUGCAGAGGCAGAACACUGCAGCCUGACAUGGGGAAACCAGCAUGAACAGGCCAACCUACCUUCAGCCCUGGAAAGCCUUGGAGCCCUGGGGAUCCUGCCUCUCCUUUAGGUCCCACUGGGCCCUACAGACAGACGGACAGAGGAAUAACCGUGAAAAAGGUGCAUUAUGAUACCAGCAUCCCUACCAAAUACUCCCCGCAUUUGGCAACAGAAAAUCAGGGUGGCUGCAAAUGCAAACCACUGGCAUACAUCAAAGGCAUUCCUUCACACAAGUGGGAGCUAAGCCCUAACCAGAGGGCUGAGACUCAAACACUGCUCCAGUCUCCCCUUUCCUCCCUCUUUCCACUAACUCCAGUGAAGUUUUACCAGUUUAUACCAGCUGAGAAUGUGACCCUAUUGUGGAGUGAUAUGGGGGUACAUCAGCUGGGGAUCUGGUUUAGGGGGGCACUCAAACCACAAUAUUCGGGACCAGGCCGAGGUUCCGAUCACAGCCGGAUCUGUGGAUGUUCAUACGUGGAGUGUUGGUUUAAGAAGUUCACUAUGGUUAUGGACUCAUCACAUGUGAUUCUGGCAGCUUUAACGUUACCUACCAUGGCUCCACCAAAUAAAAACCCAAAAAGUGACUCACCGGGAACCCAGCAUGGCCUGGUCUGCCCUGAGGGAAGGAACAACAAGGACACAGCUCAGAAAACUACCUCUUUUUUGGAAAAUGGACUAAGUUUAAAACCAGUCGAUAAGAAAGAGGGACAAUGAGGUCACUCUCACAGACCAGCAAGGGAAAGGCGCACACUAGAUGGGACAGUCACCAAGUGGGAGAGGAAAAUCAGCAGUGCAAGACGGCCACUCAGCUGAUGAAAAGAGAGAAUCCAACAUGGCCGGUUGUGUGAGGGGAUCAAAGGGUUGAAAACUAUUAUCAGCACCUGUCCAAGCCACAACAUUGCCAGCACGACACUUGCUACUAAGGCAAAGAUUUCCAAGGCUCAGAAGGCAGUUUGAUACCCUUUGCCUGACUCCCAAAGACUUCCAGCAGGAGUCAGAGCCCUAGUCAUCUUUUGUGCCUUGAGAAACAACCCCUAGGUCUUGGGGUUUAAGUGGUAUGCUCAAACAAACUUCCACCACUCCUCAGCAAGAAGGCAAUGUGCCAGGCACGGUCUCACAAGAAUGAAUUCCCAAAAGAGGCAAAGCACUAACGAGUAUUACAGAAAAGUCCAGGACCGAAAUCUUUACUCUGCUGAUCAAUAUUAAAAUUCCUAUCUCUUCAGUGGUUCAGGAUUUUUCCCCAAGUGUCUUCCUUUGCACACUGUUCAUCAAUGGACACCAGCUGGAAAUGCAUGAAUAAAAGGUGUGUAGGAAUGGGCCAUACACAGACUUGCUGGAAUAACUUUGUAUUAAGACAGCAGCUUAAUAUUCUAACCAGACCUUGCUACUCUGUCCAUAGACAUAAAUUAUUCUUGGCACGCUCUAAUAUCUGUUGCUUAACACAUAUUAUAGAAGAGAUUAUCCUCUUCCAUAACAUACACCAGGAUGGAUGUAAAAAGGCUACAAAGGAAAGAUUCCUAGUGACCAUGGCAAGGAACAGGGGUCAGGGUCAGCUACUGGGGCACCAGCUCUUAGCAGAGAAAACAUCUCACUGUAAUGGUCUGCUGUGGAUGAAAACACGUAAGUCCUAUCAUUGCAGAGGAACAGAUUAAAAAUGUAUCCUGACCUUGAGUCCAGGGAGUCCUGGUGGCCCCUACAUAAAAAGGGAAACAAAUAAAACAUGACAACAGGUGAAUUCUUCCAAACAUCAGGAGCCAAAGGAAAGUGUAUUCCCCAACUCCCCAGAAAGUCUCUUUCACCAAGCAGCACAUUAAGAUUUGUUGUUAAUUUGACUGCACAGUAACAGUAACAGAGAUCUAAAGACAUGUUCUGUUCCAAAUGAAAGAAUGUUCCUUUCAGGAUUUGUCCUUCCCUGCUCUGAAAAUGCCCCUAACCUACCAUGUGGCGGGGCAGGACAGGCCACCCUAGCACUGUCCUUUCAGGGAUAACUGUGAAGUCUAAGGAGUCCUGUUGGGGCACUUUCUUUUUUUUCUUUUCAACAGCAACGCAUAGCUGUAACAGCGAAGACUGUGAAUGGGAACUGCUCCAAUUGUAUGACAGUACUGCUGUUUGGGACCCCAUUCAGAAAAAAGCCAGUGCUACAAGGGGAAACUGCUGCACAGUCACAGAACUAGAAAACCCCAUGAACAUGGUACCGUACCUUGGGUCCAGGAGCUCCAGGAAGGCCUAGAUCACCAGAAUCACCCUAGGAAAAAGAAGGGAAAGAAGAGUGAAUCUUCACACAGAUAGGGUGGAAACAGAUGUUGUCCAGUGUCUUAUUUGUGAGGGGGGCCUUGAUCUGCUCCCCACCCCCCUUCCACCACAACAGACUUACCACAGCUGCACACAGCUCUCCACACCACCAGUUGUGCUCCUCACUGCCUACAUGCUGCACUGUGGCUGCACACAUGCACGGGCCAUUAAUCGGCCAAAUUAUCGGCCACAUCAGGCCGAUUUUUAAUAUAGACAAUUUUCUUUAUAUUAGUACCGAUCCAAUAUUGGACCAAUGUAUCGGUGCACCUCUAGUUACAAUACAUUGCUUUUUGCCACCAGCUUGCUCUAAAUAUGGAACCUACAUUGUAUACAGCACAGCUGCUCUUGGCCUGUAAGCACCCAUAGGGCCUUGUUACGCCUUACACUGAGUCGCACAGAUGUUGAUUGGUGCUAGUGUUAACUUAGAGUUUGGAACAGUCACACCCUUAGUCCAAAAACCUUCUGACUGUCUCCCACUGGGACAGCUGUGACUUGCCACUAGAGGCCUGGUGAGCAGGGAUAGGACUAAGAGCUGUAACUGUAAGUUGCCACUAGAGGACUGGGAAGCCAGGACAGACUUCUCUCCCUGCUGUAGGGGCAGGUGUGUGAGAUAUCCUGGGAUACUGGAGGACUUCAACUUGGGCAGCACAUCUGUGGGGAGUGGUCACACAUUAAUGGAACAGGAGCUGGGUAGUGCAGAUCAGAGAUAAUCCUGCCCUGGAGUGGCAUAACAUUGAGUUGCAUAACGAGCACUUAAAACCACUUUAAAGUGUUAAUGUGCAGACAAUUUAGGGGUUAAGAGCUCUAGAAGCCAUCCAAAAUUACGGUGUAACAAGGCCCACAGAGACUGUUCCAUCAUGCUUUCCACUGCACUGGCUAGUUGAGACUAUAUUCAUUUAUUAUGUACAACAGACUUCUACUAUUGUACUAAAAAGGCCUCUCUGACUUCAGGUCAGGACAAACAGUGCUAGCUGGUCUGUGGAGCUCUGCUUCUCCCUCAGUAACACGUUACUGUAAGGAUGCCCCAAUUCUACCAAGCACCAUGCAGAGAGGGGACACAUACCUUCUCUCCUCUGAAUCCUGGCUGGCCAGGUAAACCUUCUCUUCCUGGAGGACCUGGAGGACCCUGGAAAGGUUAAAAAGAGAGAACCACAGUUUGAAGUGAGGUUUAAGAACUGGCUAUUGUCAGCUCUUUAAAUUGCAAUAACCCCAAACCCUUUACCUGUGAGAAACUGUCCCAUAUGCCCACCCUCAGCACCAUCAAGACCAUUACAUUGUGCAUUAAAGACUAUGGUAUUCACAUAGACUACAGGCCCCAUAGAGACUCAUUUUAGCUUUCAGUGACAGUCAUUAUUGUACAUUACACUCCCUGCCAGACAUAUAAGCAAAGGGACUGAUCAGCAAAUCCUAAAGAAGAUACAUUUCCUCAGAAACCUCCACCAGCAAGUUCCCUAGCCCUAAUCCUGUGACCACCUCAGCUAUGCAAGCCGUCAAAUGCAGCACAAACAGUGCCACAGGUGACUGCUAUCAGAGCCAGAAAAGGGGUCAGUUCAUACAGAAUCGCAAAGAGAAACAAUGACCCCAUUCUCUUGUCCCUCUAGGAAGUCACCAUCAUGAGGUAUCAAGCAACCCAAAUGCUGCCAUCAUUGUAGAGUCCUGUCCUGGCCACAUCAUCACAAUGGAAAUGGCUGGGAAACUGCACAACAUCAGGGUUCAAAAUACACUUAAUAUGUGUCACAACCCAAAGUUGUGAUUUUUUGUUUGUGUGUGUGCUUCGGCACCGCUAAAUUAUUUCCCGCCAAAUUUGUUGCUUUCUUUGCACGGUAGAGUUCUCUGCUGCUAGAGAACUCUGGUGCAGCGGGGGAUUUCCUGCCGGAUUGCAGCUUCUUUGCAGUGUGUGCCUCUUUCUUGCACUGUAGUGAUACACGUUGCAAAGAAGUUCCAGCCAUUUGUAUUAGGAUCCGCGCCAUGUUAUUGGCCGAUUCCUAAUUUAGGCACACGUGGCGGCUAGCGAUUGGCUUGCUAGCUGUACAAAAGGCUUGGGUAGUUUCCGCCCAAGCCGGAGGAGGGAAGAAGAGAGAAAGAUUCUGUGUGAAGAUCUCCAAGCGCUGCGGACCCUCGCAGACCCGACGCACCUCCCCUAAGCAGGCAAGAGAGGCAAUAGAACCGAGCCUACGGAGCUUUCGCUUCUCGCCUCUCCCCAUCGCCGAGCGCAAUCCUAGACGUAUCCCUUUCCUGUAACUUCAGACCCCGCGGAGCCUAGCAAACUCCGUGGGAGCAAUUGAUUUGUCAGAGUCCUCCAACGAGGGUUCACGCGGGAGCUGUGCCUGGAAACUUGUCCAGCCUACACCAAUACCAUCUUUGGGUGUAAGUAAACAAUCUUUUCAAUCAA